GGUUAAGCGACUAAGCGUACACGGUGGAUGCCCUGGCAGUCAGAGGCGAUGAAGGACGUGCUAAUCUGCGAAAAGCGUCGGUAAGGUGAUAUGAACCGUUACAGCCGGCGAUGUCCGAAUGGGGAAACCCAGUGCAAUUCGUUGCACUAUCGUUAACUGAAUACAUAGGUUAACGAGGCGAACCGGGGGAACUGAAACAUCUAAGUACCCCGAGGAAAAGAAAUCAACCGAGAUUCCCCCAGUAGCGGCGAGCGAACGGGGAGCAGCCCAGAGUCUGAAUCAGCUUGUGUGUUAGUGGAACGGUCUGGAAAGUCCGACGGUACAGGGUGAUAGUCCCGUACACCAAAAUGCACAGGUUGUGAACUCGAAGAGUAGGGCGGGACACGUGGUAUCCUGUCUGAAUAUGGGGGGACCAUCCUCCAAGGCUAAAUACUCCUGACUGACCGAUAGUGAACCAGUACCGUGAGGGAAAGGCGAAAAGAACCCCGGCGAGGGGAGUGAAAAAGAACCUGAAACCGUGUACGUACAAGCAGUGGGAGCACCUUCGGGUGU
rnacentral:rRNA from 1 species